rnacentral:rRNA from 1 species
GUCGAGAAUCUUUCACAAUGGGGGCAACCCUGAUGGAGCGACGCCGCGUGGAGGAUAAGGUCUUCGGAUUGUAAACUCCUGUCAUGCGUGAACAAGGUUGCUUGGUUAAUACCUGGGCAAAUUGAUGGUAACGCAAGAGGAAGAGACGGCUAACUCUGUGCCAGCAGCCGCGGUAAUACAGAGGUCUCAAGCGUUGUUCGGAAUCACUGGGCGUAAAGGGUGCGUAGGUGGCGUGGUAAGUCAGAUGUGAAAGCCCGGGGCUCAACCUCGGAACUGCAUCCGAUGCUGCCAUGCUAGAGUACUGGAGAGGUGACUAGAAUUCUCGGUGUAGCAGUGAAAUGCGUAGAUAUCGAGAGGAAUACCAAAGGCGUAGGCAGGUCACUGGACAGUUACUGACACUGAGGCACGAAGGCCAGGGGAGCGAACGGGAUUAGAUACCCUAGUAGUCC